ACUCCUACGGGAGGCAGCAGUGGGGAAUAUUGGACAAUGGGGGGAACCCUGAUCGAGCCAUGCCGCGUGUGUGAAGAAGGCCUUAUGGUUGUAAAGCACUUUAAGCGAGGAGGAGGCUACUGAGACUAAUACUCUUGGAUAGUGGACGUUACUCGCAGAAUAAGCACCGGCUAACUCUGUGCCAGCAGCCGCGGUAAUACAGAGGGUGCGAGCGUUAAUCGGAUUUACUGGGCGUAAAGCGUGCGUAGGCGGCUUUUUAAGUCGGAUGUGAAAUCCCCGAGCUUAACUUGGGAAUUGCAUUCGAUACUGGGAAGCUAGAGUAUGGGAGAGGAUGGUAGAAUUCCAGGUGUAGCGGUGAAAUGCGUAGAGAUCUGGAGGAAUACCGAUGGCGAAGGCAGCCAUCUGGCCUAAUACUGACGCUGAGGUACGAAAGCAUGGGGAGCAAACAGGAUUAGAUACCCUGGUAGUCCAUGCCGUAAACGAUGUCUACUAGCCGUUGGGGCCUUUGAGGCUUUAGUGGCGCAGCUAACGCGAUAAGUAGACCGCCUGGGGAGUACGGUCGCAAGACUAAAUCUCAAAUGAAUUGACGGGGGCCCGCACAAGCGGUGGAGCAUGUGG
rnacentral:rRNA from 1 species